CUCAACAUCUUUGCUCUUAACUUGGA
rnacentral:snRNA from 1 species